rnacentral:rRNA from 1 species
CGAAGGCGGCCCCCUGGACAAAGACCGACGCUCAGGUGCGAAAGCGUGGGGAGCGAACAGGAUUAGAUACCCUGGUAGUCCACGCCGUAAACGAUGUCGAUUUGGAGGUUGUGCCCUUGAGGCGUGGCUUCCGGAGCUAACGCGUUAAAUCGACCGCCUGGGGAGUACGGCCGCAAGGUUAAAACUCAAAUGAAUUGACGGGGGCCCGCACAAGCGGCGGAGCAUGUG